GAUGAACGCUGGCGGCGUGCCUAAUACAUGCAAGUCGAGCGAAUGGAUCAAGAGCUUGCUCUUAUGAAGUUAGCGGCGGACGGGUGAGUAACACGUGGGUAACCUGCCCAUAAGACUGGGAUAACUCCGGGAAACCGGGGCUAAUACCGGAUAACAUUUUGAACCGCAUGGUUCGAAAUUGAAAGGCGGCUUCGGCUGUCACUUAUGGAUGGACCCGCGUCGCAUUAGGUAGUUGGUGAGGUAACGGCUCACCAAAGCAACGAUGCGGAGCCGACCUUAGAGGGUGAUCGGCCACACUGGGACUGAGACACGGCCCAGACUCCUACGGGAGGCAGCAGUAGGGAAUCUUCCGCGAUGGACGAAAGUCUGACGGAGCAACGCCGCGUGAGUGAUGAAGGCUUUCGGGUCGUAAAACUCUGUUGUUAGGGAAGAACAAGUGCUAGUUGAAUAAGCUGGCACCUUGACGGUACCUAACCAGAAAGCCACGGCUAACUACGUGCCAGCCGCCGCAGUAA
rnacentral:rRNA from 1 species